GUCUAGUUACAGUCCCAUUGCAGUCCAAAUUUAUUUACAAUGAGGAUAUUAACAAAUUCAAGGAAACUACUUGAAAUAUAAAACAUAAAUAACAAAAUCUACAACCAAAAUCAUGAAACAAACUUCAUUUCAUAUUUCCACUUGAUAUCUACAAUGCAUUGUAUUCAGGAAGUGUACCUGGGCUGGAAGUUACAACAAUGAAGAAGGAGAAAUCAGUAGCAACAGACAACAGUAACAACAAUUUCGACUUUAUUCCAACCAGGAAAUGUUGUAGAAUAACCCAAGAAGUGAUUUAAUCAAAUAACACCAGUAGAUAGACUCAAAAUCAGCUUGAAUGACCAAAUUGAAGCUCAGAGAUCAAUCAGGAACUCAGAAACUCAGCUUGAAUAACUAUUUUCAACCUUGUGAAAACUGAAAAUUGAUCUAACAACUGGAACACAAAAAUUACCCUAAAAACUUCGAUGGAAUAGUAUUUUUUAGAGUUUUUGGCUGCCUGAAAACUUCAGAAUUUUGCAGUAUUUGUAAGGCUAUUUAUUUUGAUUUUUUGAAUACUUUCAUCACUAGACUUCUAGGAACUUCUUUUUGGAUUUUAAGAUUUUCCAGCUUUUUAACUUUUGUGUGUGUUUCCAGAUUUCAAGCUUCUAAUCCCUUUGAAAGGCAAAUUUGCAAUGCCUUCCAGAUUUUUCACAUUUUUAACUUUUGUGUGUGUUUCCAGAUUUCAAGCUUCUAAUCCCUUUGAAAGGCAAGUUUGCAAUGCCUUUAUAGGCAAGCCAAUCGAGCAGCCCUCAGAUUUCAAUUUUAACCCUUAGCCCCUCUUUUAUUUUUCAAUUUUUAACUAUUUAGUUUCUUAUUUAAUGCCUUGUUGGCCAAGUAACACUGUUAACUUUUCUGAAAUUCCAAUUAAAAUCCUAUCUAGAAGCUUCUAGGAAAUUCUAUUGUUAGUUACUACAAGAUUCUCCACUUUGGAACACCUAAAAUACCCUUGAACUAUGUCUGAAAUCACCAACCUAUAUCACACUGACCCUAGUCCUCUUAAGCUUGGUCAGAUGACCAUUGUUAAGUACUCGCCAAUCAUGAAUCCAAAUUAAACACACAAAAGUAUGAACCAAGUGGAAUUACCAUUAAUUCUAAGCACAUUGAAAGGAUAAUCAGAAGAAAUCAAAUUUGACUGAACUAAUCAGUAAAAGGUGAAAAAUGAGAAAUACAUGAAAACAAGAAGGAAAAUAAGAAAAAUCACGAGACGCAAAAUAUCAACAAUUAGCAACAAAAAUCAAAACAGGGUAGAAUCAGAUUAAACCAAACUAGGUCGGAGAUAGAAUCAAUUAAGACCUCAGAUCUCUUGAGUUAAUUUAAUCAUAAAGGGUAUUUAAUCAAGCUUUAAAUAAAGGAAAUCAGUCGAACACAUGAAAACUAUUAAUGUGAAUCAAAGGAAAGAAACCAAGCCAAGGCAUCACUCGAACAAACAAACUAAACCAAUUCACAAAAUAGCUAAUCAUAUGCAUUUUUAACCCAAACUAAUUUCCACGUAUUAGGAAGAAUCAGGACUGACCUUAUUUCAAAUGAACACAAACAAGGAACUAACCAACACGUUUAAAUUAAAAGCUUAAUCGGUGAGGACUCAGCUUAACUGGCAUGGGCUUCAGAUUCAAAAGAGGCUUCCAUGCAGACUCCAAAAGCCCUAGGUUUGGAGGUUUUAAGCAUUUACCAAGGCGUUUGAAGGUGGUUGAACAUGGAUUCAAGGUGAGGUAGGUGAGGGGGUCGUUUGGUGUGACUUUGAUACCAUUUUGAAGGGGUAGGGGGUGAGUUUGUGCCAGACCUUUGAUUCGAUAUUCAAGAGGCCAGACAAGGAUGCGAAGGAAACUAAGGCUGGAUUUGGCAUGGGGAAGCGAUGGGAGCACAAUGUGUAUUUUUUGGGUUGUGUGGAGACGCCGCCGCCGUGGGCGGCGGAGACGGCAACCACGGAUUCUGAUAUUCGACGAGCUUGAGAGAUGUUCGAAGGAAAUGGAUGGUGGGGGUGGAAAGGGGAGGCUGAGAGGGUGGUGUAGUGUAAGUUUGAGGGUGUUUAGGGGCUGGCCGCCGCCGCGAGGUUAUUUGUGGCGGCGGUUUUAGGGUUCGACGAGCUUGAGAGAUGUUCGAAGGAAAUGGAUGGUGGGGGUGGAAAGGGGAGGCUGAGAGGGUGGUGUAGUGUAAGUUUGAGGGUGUUUAGGGGCUGGCCGCCGCCGCGAGGUUAUUUGUGGCGGCGAUUUUAGGGUGGAGGGAGGCGACAUUACAUGUCUCUGAUGAGAGAUGAAAGAGAUGAGAAGGGGGUCUGAGGGGGUAGGGUAGCGUUAGGACAUAUUUAUGUUACAGGGAGACUAGUUCCUGACCGUUUGAUCUAUUGGAUCAACGGUCUAGAUCAAAAUGACCAAAACAGUGUUGUUUGGGUCAGGAACCGGGCUGCACCGGGUUGGGUUGGGUUUGGGUCUGGAUUGGGGAAGGUUUUGGGCUUGUUAAUUUUGCAAAAAUGGCCCAAUUUUAUUUCCUUUUCCCCUCUUUUCUUUUCAACCUCUUUUUAAUUCCUUUCUCUUUGAUUUAAAACAAAAAUACAUCUAAAUUAAUUCCUAAAAUUCAAUUAACCCUAAGAAACUAAUUAAACACAUAUGAGAAAGCACAAAACCAAUUUAAAUGAAACAUUAAUUCAAAAUCAAAUACAAAAGUUAAAAAAUGCAAACUAAAUUAUUUUUGUGAUUUUUCUAUUUUAUAAAAUUAGUAAUUUUCUUAAUUAAUGCAAAGAUGCCAAAUUGAAUCCUAAAUGAAAAUGCACAUAUAUUUUGUAUUUUUUUUGUGAAUUAAAAUCACUCAACAUGCAAAUAAAUACACAAUUUAUGCAAUUAAAUUCUAAAUAGCACACAGGUAAAGAAAAAUCUUACUUUUACGAAUUUAUAGGAGAAAUUUAGGCUACGCAAAAUCACAUGCUCACAAUAGCCAUCCUGGGGCAAUUCAUCUUGAGGUCCUUUAGUAAGAGCCACCGAUUCUUCUCGUUACUGAAGAAGAAGAAUAACUUCUCGUGGACCCCGGAAUGCCAAUGAGCCUUGGUGGAACUCAAGUGAUAUUUAUUGAAUCCACCACUACUUCACACGCUGAAGGUAGACGAACAACUAUACCUAUACAUGGCAGUAUCAGAGAUAGCAGUAAGUGGAGUCUUGGUUUGGGAGGAGCAAGGUAUGCAAUUUUUAAUUUACUAUGUUAGUAGGACUCUGGUGAAGCCGAAACUAGGUACCCCUACAUAGAUAAAUUGGCGCUCGCCUUGCUAAACGCCUCUAGGAAAAUGAAACCAUAUUUAUUUUCAAUCCCAUCCGAUAUGUGUUGUGGCUACUUACCCAUUAUGAAAUAUCAUGUAUAAACCCGAACCCUCAGGAUGAUUGGCCAAAUGGGCCAUGGAAAUCAGCGAGUACGAUAUUCAAGAUAUUGAAUAUCGACCCUGGACAGCCAUUAAAUCUAAAAUUUUAGGAGAUUUCAUGGCCUACUUUACACCAGCCCUAAUACCCGAGUUGAAAGAGAGUUGUUGGUAAACUUGAGGACACUUCGGGAAUCUAAAACCUCUUUAUGGCGGUGCUUUGAAAGAAAAAGGGUCCAAACUUGGCAUCAUAUUGAAGCAGCAAAAGGUAAUAUGGUUAGACAAUUUGUUAGGACAAUGAAAUUAACGAACAAUGAGGCUGAAUAUGAGGCCAUGAUUGCAGGUCUCGGACUAGCCAAAAGCUUGGGUGCGGAGGUGAUUGAAGCUAAGUGCAACUCUCUCUUCGUGGUGAACCAAGUUAAUGGGACAUUCAAGGUCACAUAAGAUUGAAUGCAAAGGUACCUGGAUAAGCUACAAGUAACAUUACAUCGGUUCAAGGAGUGGGCUUUACAAUAUGUACCACGGGAUCAAAACAAUGAGACCGAUGCCCUUGCUAACUUAGGGUCAUCGAUCAAAGGCGGCGAGCUCAACUCGGGGGCAGUCGUGCAACUCAUGAGAUUGGUAGUGGAAGAAGGUCAUGCCGAGAUAAACUCUACAAGCUUGACUUGGGGUUGGAGAAACAAAUAUGUAUAAAAUGUGAAGACUGAAAAAUUGCCCUCAAAUACAAAAAAAUCGAGGGCCCUGCAUAUGAAGACAACCCAAUUUAGCUUGUCCGAAGAUGGAACCUUGUUAAGAAGAACUUUCGAUUGUCCACUAGCAAUAUGUGUAGGAUCGAGAGAUAUUGAAUACGUCACGAUGGAAGUUCACGAGGGCAUCUGCGGAAACCAUUCAGGCACCGAAUCAUUAGUUCGAAAGAUAGUCAGAGCUGUUUACUACUGGAUCGACAUGGAAAAGGAUGGAAAGGAGUUCAUGCGAAAAUGUGAUGGGUGCCAAAUACACGCUCUGAUGAUUUAUCAAUCCCAGGAGCUACUGCAUUCGGUUUUGUCCCCAUGAUCGUUCAUGAAGUGGGGAAUGGACAUCGUCGGCCCCCUUCCAUGGGCACCCAGUAAGGCUCAAUUUAUAUUGAUUAUGAUUGACUAGUUUUCUAAGUGGGUGGAAGCCCAGGUGUACGAGAAGGUCAAGGAGAAGGAAGUCAUCGAUUUCAUUUGGGACCAUAUCAUAUGCUAGUUUAAAAUGCCGGCCAAGAUCGUGUGCGACAAUGGAAAAAAAUUCAUCGAUAGCAAAGUAAGCAAGUUUCUUAAAGACCACACGAUCAAAGGAUCCUAUUAAUACCCUACCGUCCUUGUGGGAACGGACAAGCAGAAUCGACCAACAAGACCAUAAUACAAAACAUCAAAAACAGGUUAACCCACUCUUUGUCUGAAAACUCUUCGCGUUUCCAGUUAAAAAGGAGCAGAGCUGUCACACCUCCUUUUUACUACACCCCGGAAAGGAUGUAUAUAAGAGAGUAUUUUUCAAUUUAAGUGACAAUCGAAAUAGGGUUAUUGUUUAAAAUCAAAGUCGCCACUUAGGAUAAUUUAUGGUGUCCCAAGUCACCGGUUUAAAAUCCUGAAUCGAGGAAAUAUUGGCUCUAUAUAUGGUUUGCGAAAACAGAAAUUCGGGUAAGGAAUUCUAUUAACUUGGGAGAAAGUGUUAGGCAUUCCCGAGUUCCGUGGUUCUAGCACGGUCGCCUUGAUCAUUCUUGGCUUAUUAAAUUGUCUAUUACUUAUUUUAGAACUUAUGUGCAUUUACCUUUCACCGCUUUUUAAUUAAGAAAAUUAUCUUAUAACGGGUCAUGCUUACGUGCACCCGUUUGUUUGGCGCGUCGAAAAAUCAUGUCACCGAGCGUGUCCACAAUUAAUAACGCAUUAUUAUUAUUAAGAAAAUUUUAGUCGAAGUUGCGCGAAUGUAUACCCUAAUUUUAUUUUUAUGAUCGUAAUUAUGACAUAUGAACGUGUACACAGUCACGAUAAUAAAUUAAAUGCCAAACGGAGGGAGUACAUUAUACUAAGGAAACAGUAUUUUUUAAUUGGCAAACAUCAAAACGUAGUGGAGAAACGUAUAACAAUGAAUUCGACUAAUAGUUAAUGUAAAAGUUCUGACUCGAGACGUUCACCUGGCAAGCUGAUCCGACUUGAAAGGGGAGCAACUUCAAGAACUAUUUUAUGUUAUCACCACUAGCCCAACAACUGAAUUUUAUUCUAUGGUUGGUAAUAUUUGCCGUAUGACUCUUCAUUCUUCCUUUAGACCAAAAUUCUAACCAAGCCAAAAACACUUAAAGUAACUUCUUCUUCUUUUCAACUCAUAAUUUGGCCAAACACAUACUAAGAGUCCAUGUGAUAUUGUAAUUUUGUAAGCGGCCACUGAUUUCAGUCCCUUAGACCUCCAUGAAAACUCUUUAGUGUAUUUUAAGGGACUUGAAGCUUGAUAGAGUUAUAAAGUCGUUCAACUAGAAAAUGGAACCCGACGACAAACACUGAAAAAUGCGAGCAAGACCGCCAGAAGCACGACUCGAAAAGCUCGACGCAAUCGGACCCACCUUCAGCGACUCGAACCACGACCCAAAAAUUGCUUGUAAUUGAACAGUUUGAGAGCUAUUUACAGCUUGUUUCACUGCUUCUAAUGGUGGACACUUGAGUGGUUGGUUUGAAUUGAUUUUUGGAGGAAGAGGAGAAAAGAGUUCGAGUCUCUUUUAUGGUCGUUUGCGGCUAGAUUUACAGCAGCUUUUUUCUCUGUUUUGGUUGGAUUUGGUGUGAUUCCUGGUGCAUCGUGUGUGUGUUAACUGCUGUGAGGUCCGGCUAGUUUAGUUGGUGGCGUUCUGGCGGUGUGAUGGAGGAGGAAAAGGGGUCGUUGGUUACUCUUUGUCGAAGAAGAAGAACAAGUUUCAGGAGGGGGAGUCUUGAAAAGAUGACGCGGGGGGAGUGGGUGUGUUGAGGAAGACAACCAAAAGGGAGCGUCUAUGUGAUUUGCGGCCCUUGGAUUUUUUGAUUUUCCAGCUUUCUGAGGCGUUAUCCCCCUCCCCUCUUUUAGCUUAUAGUAUUUAACUUAUAUAUAAGAAAUUAGGUCUAAGGUCAUCUUUUGUGUAUUUGCUCCUAGAUUUUUAGAGUCUUUUUAUUUAUUUUUUGUUCCCAAGAAGAGUUUA
rnacentral:lncRNA from 1 species